AGCAACAAAUGCCCUGCUUCCAGGAAAAGCCUCUAAGCAUCAGGUAACAUCAAAUCGUACCCCAAACCGACACAGGUGGUCAGGUAGAGAAUACCAAGGCGCUUGAGAGAACUCGGGUGAAGGAACUAGGCAAAAUGGUGCCGUAACUUCGGGAGAAGGCACGCUGACACGUAGGUGAAGUGAUUUACUCAUGGAGCUGAA
rnacentral:rRNA from 1 species